AAUAACAACAAUACGAUAAGAAAAAGGAAGUGAAAUAAAAGAAAACUAUGUUUUGGUAGCUUUAGAUUAAGAACCAAUUUCAUGAUUAUAUAAUCGACGAUGGAGAAUGUCCUAUAGACAAAAAUAUGUAGAGGAAGGAAAUUAACUAAAGUUUAACUGAAGAUUACACUAUACUAUAAGUGUGUGUGGCAAAGGCGUGAUGGGUUUUCUUUUUCUUUUUUACUAUACAACCAACUGACAGUAAAACGUCUUAUUUACUACUAAGUAAACUCAGACGGACGUGUCAUCUGUGAAUGAAAGAAAAACCUCUAAUAAUCAGAUGACAACAACGACGAGCGACUGCUAAAUAUCAGCCAAGCUAGAAUUGUACCACUGAGGAAUGGGUUGUACGCAUGCGUGGAGCCAGUGACCUAGUUUCUCAGCGGGAAAGUCGAAUUAUAAUUAUCACUGUGGUGAUCAGUACUCUGGCUGGAUUUCCGAAAUUUGUUGCCGAUAUUCUACCUAAAAACUGACCAAGGAUACAAAAACAAAAUUUGGAUUAACCAUUAAGCUGUGGAGAUAAGAUCAGCAGUUAGCCAAGGUAGCAGUCAAUCAGAUGGGCUCUUACAU